AUGGCACCGCGGUUCAUCCCCGGUAUCAGCGGGAAUCUCCCCGACAAGCCCUCGGUGGCAGAGCCUCCCCAGGCUGCGUGCGUGCGUCAGCGCUGCGGGCUCCCAGGUAGGGUGCCUGUCACCGUGAGAAAGAGGAUCCUGGGCUGCAGGAUGUCCCUUGGGGCAGCGAGUGCAGCCACUCACCUCCUCACGCCUACGCCUCGGCUGCAGACGGCCGGGGGCUUCCCACCCUCGGGCUCCCAGGGCAGCUCGUGCAGCUGCGGACGGUGCCUGCUUCCCCCUCCCGUCACAUCACUUCUGGUUUCAUCUGGGCUCCUGGGCACCAUCCCCUCUGAUCCCCCCGGGCUGCGAAUCCAUCAGUGCAAACCCUGGGUCUGGUUCUUGCUCUCUCUCUCUCACCCUGUUGCUGUAAGUGUGUUUCUCUCCUUCCCACUUCCCCUCUGGGUCUGGUGUUCUGCCUCUGCCUGGCAGCACCUCGCGGCCCCGGUUUGCUCAGCCCCCAGGUCCCCGUGCACACUCUCUGAGGAGAGCGGCUUCCAGCAUCUUUCCCUGAUUUCUAAGGGAAGGUGGGAGAGGAGGGGAAGGACGAGAGCCUGGAAGCAGACACGGCACAGGCGGUGUGCGUGUGGGUGCGCAGGGCUGCGGGCAGGCUGGGGAAGCCGCGGGCCCGGCCCCACCGGCAGCCGGAGCCCCCCCGGGUCACAGCCGCUGCUCCGUGCCCGCCGCCGGGAUGCGCUCCGGGGGGGUUUUCUCUCUGCAAACACCAGGGCGAGGAACCGGGCUCCGCCGCACCGCCACGGCCCGCGGACCCCCGGGGGACCCCCCCGGACCCCCCUCGGCUGCGGAAGGCGAGCCCCGGCCCCGGCCGCCCCCGCGCCCCCCGCAGCCCCGGGCGCGCUCCACGGCGCUCGGCUGCCCCCGCCCGGCGGAGCGGGGAGCACCGGGCCCCUCCGGCCCCCCCCCGGCCCCUCCGCCCCCCCCCGGCCCCUCCCUCUCUGCCCCCCCCCGCCCUCCGGGCUCCUUGGAGCGGCCCCGGGCUUCUGA
rnacentral:lncRNA from 1 species